rnacentral:rRNA from 1 species
GAUGAACGCUAGCUACAGGCUUAACACAUGCAAGUCGAGGGGCAGCGAGAAGAAAGCUUGCUUUCUUUGUCGGCGACCGGCGCACGGGUGAGUAACGCGUAUCCAACCUUCCCCUUAGUAGGGCAUAGCCCGGCGAAAGUCGGAUUAAUACCCUAUGUUGUCAGUAGAGGACAUCUGAAGUUGACCAAAGAUUUAUCGCUAAGGGAUGGGGAUGCGUCUGAUUAGGUAGUAGGCGGGGUAACGGCCCACCUAGCCGACGAUCAGUAGGGGUUCUGAGAGGAAGGUCCCCCACAUUGGAACUGAGACACGGUCCAAACUCCUACGGGAGGCAGCAGUGAGGAAUAUUGGUCAAUGGGCGAGAGCCUGAACCAGCCAAGUAGCGUGCAGGAUGACGGCCCUAUGGGUUGUAAACUGCUUUUAUCAGGGGAUAAAGUGAGGGACGUGUCCCUUUUUGUAGGUACCUGAUGAAUAAGGACCGGCUAAUUCCGUGCCAGCAGCCGCGGUAAUACGGAAGGUCCGGGCGUUAUCCGGAUUUAUUGGGUUUAAAGGGAGCGCAGGCCGAUUGGUAAGCGUGACGUGAAAUGUAGCCGCUCAACGGCUGAACUGCGUCGCGAACUGCCGGUCUUGAGUAUGUUCGAUGUAGGCGGAAUUCGUGGUGUAGCGGUGAAAUGCUUAGAUAUCACGAAGAACCCCGAUUGCGAAGGCAGCCUACAAGGCCAUUACUGACGCUAAAGCUCGAAGGUGCGGGUAUCGAACA